AUGGCGGUGCAAGUGGGGCAAGUCGCCCCCACCCUGACGGUGCUGCCCCCCUCCAGAGAGGAGCAGCAGCAGAGGAAGGCCGCGUUCAUGUGCCGGGGCUUCCCCUCCGACUGGAGUGUGGUGGACAUUCGCAAUGUUUUUGUACGGUGGUUCAAUGCCUUUGUGUCACUGUGGAUCACGUUUGGUGGAGGAACCAGACUGAGCGUUGGAAGUGAUGUCCGUCCCACCCUGACGGUGCUGCCCCCCUCCAGGGAGGAGCUGCAGCGGGGGACGGCCACGCUGGUGUGCCUGGCCAACAAGGGCUUCCCCUCCGACUGGAGUCUGGCCUGGAAGGUGGACGGCAGCAGCAGCAGCUGGGAGGAGAGCAGGAGCCCCGGGGUGCUGGGGGGGGGCGCCCUCUACAGCUGGAGCAGCACCCUGAGGCUCCCUGCAGACCAGUGGGCCAAGGUGGGCUCUGUGACCUGUGAGGCCACCCAGGGCUCCCAGCCUAAGCUCUCAGAGACGCUGAGGAGAGACCAGUGUUCCCAGUGAGCUGAGCCACUGGGGCUCUGGUACUGGUUCAUACUGGUACUGGUUCAUACUGAUACUGGUUCACCCUGAUACUGGUUCAGAUUUGAUACUUGUUCAGUUUGCCUGUAACUCUUUAUAUUUUGUUCAUUUCACUCACUGUUUAAGUUCCUGUUUCAUUCAUUAAGUUCUUUUGAUUUUCAUUAUUU